GACGAACGCUGGCGGCGUGCUUAAUACAUGCAAGUCGAACGGAAAGGCCCUGCUUUUGUGGGGUGCUCGAGUGGCGAACGGGUGAGUACACGUGAGUAACCUGCCCUUGACUUUGGGAUAACUUCAGGAAACUGGGGCUAAUACCGGAUAGGAGCUCCUGCUGCAUGGUGGGGGUUGGAAAGUUUCGGCGGUUGGGGAUGGACUCGCGGCUUAUCAGCUUGUUGGUGGGGUAGUGGCUUACCAAGGCUUUGACGGGUAGCCGGCCUGAGAGGGUGACCGGCCACAUUGGGACUGAGAUACGGCCCAGACUCCUACGGGAGGCAGCAGUGGGGAAUAUUGCACAAUGGGCGGAAGCCUGAUGCAGCAACGCCGCGUGCGGGAUGACGGCCUUCGGGUUGUAAACCGCUUUCGCCUGUGACGAAGCGUGAGUGACGGUAAUGGGUAAAGAAGCACCGGCUAACUACGUG
rnacentral:rRNA from 1 species